rnacentral:rRNA from 1 species
UACGUAGGGUGCGAGCGUUAAUCGGAAUUACUGGGCGUAAAGCGUGCGCAGGCGGUUUUGUAAGUCUGUCGUGAAAUCCCCGGGCUCAACCUGGGAAUUGCGAUGGAGACUGCAAGGCUAGAAUCUGGCAGAGGGGGGUAGAAUUCCACGUGUGAGCAGUGAAAUGCGUAGAGAUGUGGAGGAACACCGAUGGCGAAGGCAGCCCCCUGGGUCAAGAUUGACGC